UCCCAGCAGUCCAAGUCGCAAUCACAAUUAUUGGGUCUAAAACAUCCGUAGCUUGCUUUGUAAGUCUCUUGUGAAAUCCGGCCUCUUAAGGGUCGAAGUGCGAGAGAUACUGCUUAGCUUGAGACCGGGAGAGGUAAGAAGUACAAACGGAGUAGCGGUAAAAUGUGUUGAUCCUGUUUGGACUAACAACAGCGAAGGCAUCUUACUAGAACGGAUCUGACAGUGAGGGAUGAAGGCUAGGGGCGCAAAAGGG
rnacentral:rRNA from 1 species